GAUGAAGAACGUAGCGAAAUGCGAUAAGUAAUGUGAAUUGCAGAAUUCAGUGAAUCAUCGAAUCUUUGAACGCAACUUGCGCUCCUUGGCAUUCCGAGGAGCAUGCCUGUUUGAGUGUCAUGAAACUAUCAAGCUACAAAUGUUCUUGUUAGCAUUUGUUGGUUUGGACAUUGGAUGCUUUGCUGGACAAUAUUGUACAGCUCAUCCGAAAUUUAUUAGCUGGUCUAAAUACCUUGGACUAUAUCCACUUGGCGUGAUAAGUAUCACCCGCUGAGGACUUGUUCAUUGGAGGUUGACUGCUUCUAGUAACCCAAUUAUAUUUGAAUCAUCUGACCUCAAAUCAGGUAGGACUACCCGCUGAACUUAAGCAUACAAUAAGCGGAGGA
rnacentral:misc_RNA from 1 species